UGCCCCACCAAGCGAGAGAAAAGAAAACAAGAAGGCAAUGACUAGAUAAAUGUCAAAGAGCAAAAUUUGACAGUCAAAACUGAUUUUAAUCAAUGGAGCUACGCCAACAAUUUUUUAUAAUCAAAUAUUUUAUUAAUCAUGGAUAAUACACAAGAAGUGUAUUAUCAAUUAACACAAGACAGAAUCAAUAUGAAAUUGGACAACCCGUCUAUACGAGUAAUAGCUACAGCAUUAAACCAAAUAUACAGUAUCAGAUAAAACAAUUCUUUAAUCUGCUCUGUUGUCCGUGUAUUAUUGUCGAAACAGCGACUAUUUCUCUCCCUCCAAAUACACCAGAUAAUGCAUCAUGGGACAAGGUCCCAAACAAUCUUUAUUACAAAAUCUUCUCCCCUAUGCCUUCAAAACAUCCUUUAUGCGCUGUGAAAACACCCAAUCCAUGUGUUAAGAAGCCAAAAUAUCGUUCCAAAGGGUGCGAGCAACGUCACAAUGAAUGAACAAGUGGUCAAUCGUCUCUCCAUUCCUCCGACACAUAUAUCACCAUUCCAUAACUUAGAAACCCUUGCAUCGAAGGUUAUCCACUGUUAACACCUGUUCCCUCACAACCGUCCACAGGAAAAAUGUCAUCCGAGGGGCGAUUUAUAACGUCAUACCUUCUUCCAUGGGAAUGAACUCUCUUCAAGUUCCAAUAAAGAUCUAAAAUAAGAGCUUACUGAGAAAAUGUCAUCGCGUGCCAACAUCCACCUGCUACGAUCCCUUUCGCCCACCCUGACGUGCACCUCAUACAAAGAAGUCAGGAGUAAUGCAUAAUCAUCUAAUUCCCAAUCCUGUAGACCCCUCCCAAAAAUAAUGUUCCAGCUGGGAUUCCCAUUAUGUGCCUGUAAGACUUCAUACACCAUAGCCUGCGGCAUCAAAGUAAUACGAUACAGGAAAGGAUACUCCGCUCUUAAUGGCCGAUUUGUACACCAACAAUCAUCCUAGAAUCUAAUAGUAUUGUCAUUCCCCACCUCAUACGUCAAUCUAUCCUGAAAUUCUCUCCACCCUCGUCGUAUAUACCUCCACAAACUCACCCCAUAAGAAUCACGAUUCUUGGCUGAGCACCAUCCCCCCUCUAGAACACCAUAUUUCGCCUCUAUAAUCUCUCUCCAAAAGCUUUCACUCUCCACACCGAAUCGCCACAACCACUUAUCUAGCAAGGUCUUAUUAAACAAUACAAGACUCCUCAAUUCGAGGCCCCCAUUUUUAUGGGAAAACACACUACGCCCUGGUUAACCAGGUGAAGUUUCCUCUCCUCCCCUAAACCUCCCCAUAGAAACUCUCUUUGAAUCCUCUCUAAUCUUUUUUCCAUAGAACAGGGAUAGGAAACAAUGAAAAGAAGUAAGUGGGUAGAUUCGAUAAAGUGGACUUGAUGAGUGUAAGACGGCCUCCAUUUGAGAGGUACAUACGCUUCCAACCAACUAACCUCCUCUCCACCUUUUCCACAAUACUAUUCCAAAUGUGUAUGUUUUUAAACUGCGCUCCUAAGGGGAGCCCAAGAUAGGACAUAGGCAGUUGCGUAGUCCUACAACUCAAUAUGGCCGCUUACUCCUCCACAUUAGCAACAUCCCCAACUGUGACGGCCUCAAAUUUUCCUAAAUUAAUUUUCAAUCCAGAUACAACUUCAAAGCAUAGUAACACACGGCGCAAGUUCUUAAAUUACUGAGCCUCUGCAUCACAAAAGAUCAAUGUAUCGUCUGCAAAUAGCAAAUGGGAUAUCUGUAAUUGGUUAAUCA
rnacentral:lncRNA from 1 species